AGUGAACGCUGGCGGUAGGCCUAACACAUGCAAGUCGAACGGCAGCACAGUAAGAGCUUGCUCUUACGGGUGGCGAGUGGCGGACGGGUGAGGAAUACAUCGGAAUCUACUUUUUCGUGGGGGUUAACGUAGGGAAACUUACGCUAAUACCGCAUACGACCUACGGGUGAAAGCAGGGGAUCUUCGGACCUUGCGCGAUUGAAUGCGCCGAUGUCGGAUUAGCUAGUUGGCGGGGUAAAGGCCCACCAAGGCGACGAUCCGUAGCUGGUCUGAGAGGAUGAUCAGCCACACUGGAACUGAGACACGGUCCAGACUCCUAAGGGAGGCAGCAGUGGGGAAUAUUGGACAAUGGGCGCAAGCCUGAUCCAGCCAUACCGCGUGGGUGAAGAAGGCCUUCGGGUUGUAAAGCCCUUUUGUUGGGAAAGAAAAGCAGCAGGUUAAUACCCCGCUGUUCUGACGGUACCCAAAGAAUAAGCACCGGCUAACUUCGUG
rnacentral:rRNA from 1 species